rnacentral:misc_RNA from 1 species
AAAGUAUACUUGGAUCACCAAAGAUGAAGGAGAUAGUUGUAUCAGUUAUAACAUGCAUGAUCUAGAGUAACGAUGUGAAAGUGAGACAUUCAAAUCACUUUACCAGAUACUAACAUAACGCUAACAGGUAAAGUUAAAUUGAGGAGUAGUCCAUUAAUGUCGUUAACCUUGCAAGCAGCUGUCACGCGUAUUCUAUUUUGCCUCUUCAUACUCGGUCACCCUUUUCAGAACUAACUCUUACCGGUUUUUAACUGCACAUUACUUACUUGUCCAGCAUCAACUUGUGAAGUUACGGAUGGAGGUGGUUCAGAACAUGCCCUCAAGACAGCUUCAUUCUGCCAAA